rnacentral:rRNA from 1 species
GACGAACGCUGGCGGCGUGCUUAACACAUGCCAGUCGAACGAAGAGCGAUGGAAGCUUGCUUCUAUCAAUCUUAGUGGCGAACGGGUGAGUAACGCGUAAUCAACCUGCCCUUCAGAGGGGGACAACAGUUGGAAACGACUGCUAAUACCGCAUACGAUCUAAUCUCGGCAUCGAGGAUAGAUGAAAGGUGGCCUCUACAUGUAAGCUAUCACUGAAGGAGGGGAUUGCGUCUGAUUAGCUAGUUGGAGGGGUAACGGCCCACCAAGGCGAUGAUCAGUAGCCGGUCUGAGAGGAUGAACGGCCACAUUGGGACUGAGACACGGCCCAGACUCCUACGGGAGGCAGCAGUGGGGAAUCUUCCGCAAUGGGCGAAAGUCUGACGGAGCAACGCCGCGUGAGCGAUGACGGCCUUCGGGUUGUAAAGCUCUGUUAAUCGGGACGAAAGGCCUUCUUGCGAAUAGUGAGAAGGAUUGACGGUACCGGAAUAGAAAGCCACGGCUAACUACGUG